rnacentral:lncRNA from 1 species
GUUACAGAAUUGCUGGCGGGCCACUCGGUGAGGUAACUGACCCAAUCUACCCAGGUGGAAGCUUCGACCCACUGGGCUUGGCUGACGAUCCCGAAGCAUUCGCUGAGUUGAAGGUGAAGGAACUCAAGAAUGGUAGGUUGGCUAUGUUCUCAAUGUUCGGAUUCUUUGUCCAGGCCAUUGUGACCGGAAAGGGACCACUGGAGAACCUGGCUGACCACCUUUCUGACCCAGUAAACAACAACGCCUGGGCAUAUGCCACAAACUUCGUUCCCGGAAAGUGAGCAACAAAAGAGUUUUUUCUGUG